AGUGCUGGGGUUCAGGGAGGGUGGACGCUUCAGUGGAGCGGCCCUGGGGCGCGCCUUCCCCUCCGGAGCCUCGGUUUCCUCCCUUCGAACUGUGGGGAAUGGGAGCCCCUUGCCCUGCAGGCGCAGAGUGAGACCUAGAGGGUCCGGGGCCGGCGCAAGCCCACGCACUGCGAUCGCUCAAUGAACUAGCCCCUGGUCCAGCCUCCUUCUGGCUCCUCGACCUUUCCCGGGGUCUCACUUUAGGACCCACCUCUCAGCAUCUCUGCCGAGAAGGUCAAGAUGGUGCAACCUUGAAGAUGCUUACAAGGAUGGGCUGGCCUGGAAAGGCUUCUGCAGCUGGCAUAGCUACAGUCUGGAACAUCAGUGACGUUCAGGCAGACUUCCUGGAGGAGGUGCUGACCCCAGGAGGGGACCCUGAGAAGUUGUCUUGAGAAGAAGAUGUCUCUAGAAGUGUCUCUCGGGGGAAGGCCUCCAUGAGCUCCUUCAUCUCUUCCGGGGUCUCAGCACCCAAACCAAGCCUCCUCCUGGGCUCGCCCCUCCCCCUGGCUCUCCGUGGUGAGUCUGAGGAGGCCUGAGGUCACCAGGUCAAGGUCCGGACUGGGACACUUGUGGCUGACACGCUGCAGAAACGGGGACCCAAGGCAGGUUGUGUCCAGCCCCCGCCCCAGGCCUUCAUCCUGUCUGGGGAAGGGACACCCCCUCCCAGGUUCAGGUCUGCUUCAGUCAUUCAUUCAUUC
rnacentral:lncRNA from 1 species